rnacentral:rRNA from 1 species
UACGUAGGAGACGAGCGUUGUCCGGAGUUACUGGGCGUAAAGGGUGCGCAGGUGGCGGCGCGCGUGGGGGGGUGAAAUCGCCCGGCUUAACUGGGCGGGGGGCCUUCCAGACGGCGUGGCUUGAGCAGCGGAGGGGACGUGGAAUUCCGGGUGGAGCGGUGAAAUGCGUAGAGAUCCGGAGGAACACCGACGGCGCAGGCAGCGUCCCUGGCCGCUUGCUGACACUGAGGGCACGAAAAG